AGACUGAUUGCACUGUAUAUUUAUUAUCUCUCCAAAAUCAAAGGAAGGAAUUACAGCAAAGGAGUGAGUGUCUCUCAGACAAGGCUGGUAGCCUUGCUGCGGAAAUUCUAGAGGUGAAACGAUCUCUGGCGGAGGCCAAGGCCCGUAAUAUGGCAGCACAAGCUUCGAUCCGUGCACCAACCAGCAAAUCAAAGAGAAAGCAAAACAAACCCAAGUGAAUCAGGAUUUUACUGUUUGUUUUGUAGAUAACAGGCACUUUUUUUAUUGCAUUUGAUAUGUGUAAUUGUUUGUAUAUUGUGUAGCACCCAAUAAAGUGUUUUUUUUAAAUCUUG